rnacentral:rRNA from 1 species
UACGUAGGGUGCAAGCGUUGUCCGGAAUUAUUGGGCGUAAAGAGCUCGUAGGCGGUCUGUCACGUCGGCUGUGAAAACCCGAGGCUCAACCUCGGGCCUGCAGUCGAUACGGGCAAACUAGAGUGUUGCAGGGGAGACUGGAAUUCCUGGUGUAGCGGUGAAAUGCGCAGAUAUCAGGAGGAACACCGGUGGCGAAGGCGGGUCUCUGGGCAACAACUGACGCUGAGGCACGAAAGCGUGGGGAGCAAACAGG